rnacentral:rRNA from 1 species
AGAGUUUGACCUUAGAGCAGGAUGAACGCUGGCGGCGUGCUUAACACAUGCUUUUCGAACGAACCGCCUGGAUUUGAUUCUUCGGAUGAAGAUCCUUGUGACUGAGUGGCGGACGGGUGAGUAACGCGUGGGUAACCUGCCUCAUACAGGGGGAUAACGAUUGGAAACGAUCGCUAAUACCGCAUAAGCCCACAGUACCGCAUGGUACAGAGGGAAAAGAUUUCAUCGCUAUGAGAUGGACCCGCGUCAGAUUAGCUGGUUGGUGGUGUAACGGACCACCAAGGCGACGAUCUGUAGCCGGACUGAGAGGUUGAACGGCCACAUUGGGACUGAGACACGGCCCAAACUCCUACGGGAGGCAGCAAUGGGGAAUAUUGCACAAUGGGGGAAACCCUGAUGCAGCGACGCCGCGUGGGUGAAGAAGUUUUUCGGAAUGUAAAGCCCUAUCAGCAGGGAAGAUAAUGACGGUACCUGACUAAGAAGCCCCGGCUAACUACGUGCCAGCAGCCGCGGUAAUACGUAGGGGGCAAGCGUUAUCCGGAUUUAUUGGGUUUAAAGGGUGCGUAGGCGGGUCGUCAAGUCAGCGGUUAAAUCGUCCGGCUCAACCGGGCUCUGCCGUUGAAACUGGUGAUCUUGAGUGCGAACGAGGCAGGCGGAAUGUGUUGUGUAGCGGUGAAAUGCUUAGAUAUGACAAAGAACACCGAUUGCGAAGGCAGCUUGCCAGCACGCUACUGACGCUGAGGCACGAAAGCGUGGGGAUCGAACAGGAUUAGAUACCCUGGUAGUCCACGCAGUAAACGAUAAUUGCUGGCUGUCUGGGACAGACUGUAGGGGGCUGAGCGAAAGCGUUAAGCAAUCCACCUGGGGAGUACGCCGGCAACGGUGAAACUCAAAGGAAUUGACGGGGGCCCGCACAAGCGGAGGAACAUGUGGUUUAAUUCGAUGAUACGCGAGGAACCUUACCCGGGCUUGAAAUGCAGAGGAAUGAUGUGGAAACAUAUCAGCCAGCAAUGGUCUCUGUGUAGGUGCUGCAUGGUUGUCGUCAGCUCGUGCCGUGAGGUGUCGGCUUAAGUGCCAUAACGAGCGCAACCCCUGCCGUUAGUUGCCAUCGGGUAAUGCCGGGGACUCUAGCGGGACUGCCACCGUAAGGUGUGAGGAGGGUGGGGAUGACGUCAAAUCAGCACGGCCCUUACGUCCGGGGCGACACACGUGUUACAAUGGGUGGUACAGAGGGCAGCUACGCUGCGAGGAGCGGCCAAUCCUUAAAAGCCAUCCUCAGUUCGGAUCGGAGUCUGCAACUCGACUCCGUGAAGCUGGAUUCAAAAGUAAUCGCGCAUCAGCCAUGGCGCGGUGAA